UGCCAAAAAGAUGACUACACAGGAGGCAAGAACCAUCCACGGCUCAAAGCAACCAGCUCAGAGCCGUGUCAUUGCCCCUCCACCUCCGUCCCGAAACGCCCCCCUUUCCCAGCCUGUAAGGCAAUGAUGUCCCCAGCCAGACACGCAUCGGGGAGAGAGGGGUGAGCCUGAGGAAGGCAGGAACCGGAGGAAGAUGUGCUCUCGCCGCGAGAGCCCAGCUGGAAGGAAUCCUCCUCUCCCAGUAACCAGCAGAAGUUUUAAAAGCAUUUGUUUUGCAAUCGCCGCUCAGCUCAUCACAUACCUUAUAGCAGGUUUCAGAGAGCUUUUGGCAUGAAAAGGAAACAGCUCAUGUAGUUUCAACACGUUUUAUUAUAUUUCUGUAUGCAUUACUCUCAAAACAUAUCACAAGAAAUGAUGAAACCACUUAAACCUUCAAAUAAAAAAUCUGAAACAG